rnacentral:rRNA from 1 species
UACGAAGGGGGCUAGCGUUGUUCGGAAUUACUGGGCGUAAAGCGCGCGCAGGCGGUCUUCCAAGUCAGUGGUGAAAUCCUGGAGCUCAACUCCAGAACUGCCUUCGAUACUGGAGAGCUCGAGUCCGGGAGAGGUGAGUGGAACUGCGAGUGUAGAGGUGAAAUUCGUAGAUAUUCGCAAGAACACCAGUGGCGAAGGCGGCACUCUGGGCCGUGACUGACGCUGAGGAGCGAAAGCGUGGGUAGCAAACAGG